GUAUAUGUCUUGUGUUUGUAGAAAAGGAAAAAAGAUAACAAAAUGAAGAAAAAGAAAGAAAAGAAGAAAAAGAGAGAGAAAACAGGACCUGUCCAGCUUUCCAAGUUCUUUAAAAACAAAAAGAAGAAUGAAAACUACAGCAUGAUAACUGGAAAGAAAAUUAAGAUGAAAAUAAAGAAGUCUAAGAAGGAUAAAGAGAGAGACCGGAAUCGUGCAGAACUCCUUGAAUUUCUGAACUCUGCCUUAUAACGGGAAGAGUGCUGACCAAGGACUUGUAAAUAUACUAAGCCAACGAUCGUGAUGCCUAGCAAAAUACUAAAGGGAAACUCAGGGAAAAGGAUGCCAAGUUUGACAAGACCAGACUCUCCUGCUGAGAAGACAAUCGGGAUGUCCUUUUUUAAUUGCAAAAUGAAGAGUAACUGCUAACUUGUUAAUGAAGAUCCAUGUCCUCCUUUUGAGAUCCUAAGGUAAUAGCCAGGCUGUGGUUUAGAAGAGCCUAAGAGUGUGUCAUUGACAAUGAUAAGAAAUGACACACUGAAGUCCAGUAAUGUAAUUUCUAUCCUAACUGCAUGCAGAACGCUGUGUCUUAAUGUUUCUAGUAGUUAAGCAAAGCAGAGUAUUUGUAAAUGUCUAUUUGAAAGAUGAGGCGUUUCUAUAUGUAUAUUUUUUUCCAGUAGUGGUUUUACUUGUUCUAAAGAGCAAGUUGACCUUUGUAAAUAGAACAUGCUUUUACAUAAAUGAUUCUUUUGACAGUUAAUUCACUAUUAUGUUAUUUUUUUUCAGAAUCUGAGACAUGAUCUUUCUCUGGACAGUUUAUUGCCCUCUCUCACUAGAAAGCAUGACAGUAAAAUACUACAGAGCAAUAAUGGUAGCUGAAUGAUUUUUACCCUAAAAUAGAGGCAGGAAAGGUCUUCUGGUUUUGUUUGUUUAUCUGGAUCAGCUGUUCAAAGGCAGCUCACAAUAGAGAGUUUACCCCCCACAUCUGAAGUUGCAGUUCCUAGACCUAAAAACUCUGGAGUUCUGGCUUGCCUUUCUGACCCUGUGAGCUAUGUAUUGAGUCUUCCUCUGUCUGAAGUGCAGGAAGACACAUAUUACAUAUCUUAGUCAAAUGGAAAGAGAAAAAGCUGUCGGAAUAAUGCUAAGGCAGGCAGUGACAGUGACCCUUCAGGUGUGUUGACAGUCCACUGUGAGAUGAGAUGGGUCUGGAUAUGCAGCUGGACCACAACAUAAGGGCGUGUGUGUGUCUGGGCGUGUGUGUGAGAGCGCGCUGUAGUAGUUUGAUCAGUGCUUGCUUGCUUCCUUCCAGAGCCUUGGCUUUUGAUUACCCAGCAGGCCCCUGUGUACAUAACCCUGAUGUGGGAAUUCCAUUUGAAUCCCUUGUGUAGCAAGUGCUCCUUGGGAACCACAGUUUAGGAGUGCCUGAGCAAAGGAGUCAGAGGUAGUUGACUUUGACAAGACUAUCAGGUGUACAGUGAUCAGAGUGUGGGGAGUUCAUUAAAGAGCAAACA